UACGUAGGCAGCGAGCGUUGUUCGGAGUUACUGGGCGUAAAGCGUGCGUAGGCGGUGGUCCAAGUCUGGUGUGAAAUCUCCCGGCUCAACUGGGAGGGUGCGCCGGAAACUGGGCCGCUGGAGUACGGGAGAGGCAAGCGGAAUUCCAGGUGUAGCGGUGAAAUGCGUAGAUAUCUGGAGGAACACCCGUGGUGCAGACGGCUUGCUGGACCGUGACUGACGCUGAGGCACGAAAGCGUGGGGAGCAAACAGG
rnacentral:rRNA from 1 species